AAUCUUCCCGUGAAGAAGCGGGAAUACCCCUAUAAGACGAGAAGACCCCAUGGAGCUUCAAACCCAACUACACCCCUAACUUCUAUAACCCCCACCCCACGGGACCCUGUAUAGUUGGUUUUAGGUUGGGGCAACCACGGAGCACAACAAAGCCUCCACAAUGAAUGGGACCACCCCCCUUAUCUAAGAGCCACACCCCUAGGAAUUAAAACAUUAAUAUAAAAUGAUCCAUUAUUUGAUCAAUGAACCAAGUUACCCUGGGGAUAACAGCGCAAUCCAUUUCAAGAGCCCCUAUCGACAAAUGGG
rnacentral:rRNA from 1 species